rnacentral:rRNA from 1 species
UAGGGAAUCUUCCGCAAUGGGCGAAAGCCUGACGGAGCAACGCCGCGUGAGUGAUGAAGGUCUUCGGAUCGUAAAACUCCGUUAUUAGGGAAGAACAAAUGUGUAAGUAACUAUGCACGUCUUGACGGUACCUAAUCAGAAAGCCACGGCUAACUACGUGCCAGCAGCCGCGGUAAUACGUAGGUGGCAAGCGUUAUCCGGAAUUAUUGGGCGUAAAGCGCGCGUAGGCGGUUUUUUAAGUCUGAUGUGAAAGCCCACGGCUCAACCGUGGAGGGUCAUUGGAAACUGGAAAACGUGAGUGCAGAAGAGGAAAGGGGAAUGCCAGGUGUAGGGGUGAAAUGCGCAGAGAUAUGAAGGAACACCAGGGGCGAAGGCGACUUUCUGGUCUGUAACUGACGCUGAUGUGCGAAAGCGUGGGGAUCAGACAGG